GACGAACGCUGGCGGCGUGCUUAACACAUGCAAGUCGAACGGAAAGGCCCUGCUUUUGUGGGGUGCUCGAGUGGCGAACGGGUGAGUAACACGUGAGUAACCUGCCCUUGACUUUGGGAUAACUUCAGGAAACUGGGGCUAAUACCGGAUAGGAGCUCCUGCUGCAUGGUGGGGGUUGGAAAGUUUCGGCGGUUGGGGAUGGACUCGCGGCUUAUCAGCUUGUUGGUGGGGUAGUGGCUUACCAAGGCUUUGACGGGUAGCCGGCCUGAGAAGGUGACCGGCCACAUUGGGACUGAGAUACGGCCCAGACUCCUACGGGAGGCAGCAGUGGGGAAUAUUGCACAAUAGGCGGAAGCCUGAUGCAGCAACGCCGCGUGCGGGAUGACGGCCUUCGGGUUGUAAACCGCUUUCGCCUGUGACGAAGCGUGGGUGACGGUAAUGGGUAAAGAAGCACCGGCUAACUACGUG
rnacentral:rRNA from 1 species